GAUGAACGCUGGCGGCGUGCCUAAUACAUGCAAGUCGAGCGAACAGACGAGGAGCUUGCUCCUCUGACGUUAGCGGCGGACGGGUGAGUAACACGUGGAUAACCUACCUAUAAGACUGGGAUAACUUCGGGAAACCGGAGCUAAUACCGGAUAAUAUAUUGAACCGCAUGGUUCAAUAGUGAAAGACGGUUUUGCUGUCACUUAUAGAUGGAUCCGCGCCGCAUUAGCUAGUUGGUAAGGUAACGGCUUACCAAGGCAACGAUGCGUAGCCGACCUGAGAGGGUGAUCGGCCACACUGGAACUGAGACACGGUCCAGACUCCUACGGGAGGCAGCAGGAGGGAAUCUUCCGCAAUGGGCGAAAGCUUGACGGAGCAACGCCGCGUGAGUGAUGAAGGUCUGCGGAUCGUAAAACUCUGUUAUUAGGGAAGAACAAAUGUGUAAGUAACGAUGCACGUCUGGACGGUACCUAAGCAGAAAGCCACGGCUAACUACGU
rnacentral:rRNA from 1 species